GAUGAACGCUGGCGGCGUGCCUAAUACAUGCAAGUCGAGCGAACAGCCGAGGAGAUUGCUCCUCUGAAGUUAGCGGGGGAUGGGUGAGUUACACGUGGAUACCCUACCUAUAAGUCUUGGCUAACUUCGGGAAACUGCACCCAAUACCGGGUAAUACCUUGUACAGCCUGGAUCAAUAGUGCAUGCUGGUUUUCCUGUCACGUCUAGAUCGCUCCUCGCCGCAUUAGCAAGUUGGUAAGGUCAUGGCAUACAAAGGCAACGAUGCGUAGCCGACCUGAGAGAGUGAUCGGCCACACUGGAACUGAGACAGGGACCAUACUCCUGCGGAAGUCUGCAGUAGGGAAGCUUCCGCAAUGGACGAAAACCUGACGGAGCAACGCCGCGUGAGGUAUGAAAGUCUUCGGAUCGUAAAACUCUGUUAUUAGGGAAGAACAAAUAUGUAAGGAACUAUGCACAUCUUGACGGUACCGAAUCAGAAAGCCACGGCUAACUACGUG
rnacentral:rRNA from 1 species